CACCGGAAAUCAUUUUCCUUCUUGUAGAAGGACAGCAGGGUGCUAGGAUAUAAAAAGGCAAUUCUUACAGCAACCUGGCCACUCAAAGGUCAGGAGGGACCUUCAAACAUGGCUGACUUUAACUGUUCCCUUCUGCAUGAGCUUCCCCACAUAAUGUGACUUGUUACAUAUCCCUUCACGCCACAGGUACACAUCCAGUAGACACAGUAAUGGAGAUGAGGAAGUGUGUCCAGAGGCCAGGGUGAAAGAGGAAGGGCUGAGUGUGGUGGUUGUGUCCUGGCCUGACUGUGCUUCUGUGCAGUCUGGACAGUGGAGAGCAUCAAGUACAUUAAGAGUUUCCUCAUUGCCUCCAACCUCAGCAAGUUCAUGCCUAGUUACAGUGGCUUCCAGCCCUCAGUGAGAGUCUGGCAAACCCAGAGCUCUGCCCUGUGGACUGGGGAGGCCCAGCUGACAGUCUUGCUGCCACUUCACUGCCUAUUAAGACUUGUUUCUUUUUCAGUAGUUCUAAAACAAUUUGAAUGGCUGACAGGUUUAAAAUUUGAAAUUACUGUUUGAGGUUUUCCUCUUGCAUAUACUGGUUAGAUUAAUCUAGUGUUUCUGGUUAGACAGGUGUGAGCAUGGGAAAUGAGGGUAACCUGUAAUUUUGUUUUUAUAGUGCUUGCUAAUGGCACCGUGUAAUUUCUGCUUGGUGAUUUCCAUCCACUCUUAUUUUCUUCAUUAUCUCAUUACUCGGGAAGGCAGUGACUGGAGACAGGAAGUAGGAUGCAGGCCAUGAGGGAUGAGUUAUAAGCCACCUCUCCAUCAUCCUGCCCAAGGCUCACAACACUAUGCUGUGUCUCCUGAAUCCCAUUUGCAUGGAGGCUCGGCACUCCACAUCUCGCCUGCACUCAUUUUAGUACAUUGUGGUUUUGCUUCCAAUUAGACAGAGCAUUAGACCUCACACCUGGCAUGUGAUUCUUCAUGAGACCCCAGGCCUGCCCCAUCUCACUGUCACUGGCAUGCAUGUGGAACAAUGAAAGGGAAAGUGUUCAGUAAUAAGGGGUGGCAGUACAGCACAUGUGUUAUGAGCAGAGGACCAGCUUAUUGCCCUUGUACCUGUCCCUCCUGGUCAGGUGGGUACCCCAUUUUGUUGCCAAGAACAGUACAGUUGAGUAGGUGGUAGGUCAGAGAGUAUGGUGUGUGUAGAGGUAAAUCUGUGCUUGUCACAGCAGUUUUUCCCUAUCCCAUACAAGCCAACCACUGUACUUUGGGGUAGCCUGCCUCUUCCAAGUGCCUCUGGGCUCUGUGAGAGCCUCCCCCCAAGCAGGUAGACCAAUUUGUUUCCUCUGCUCUUUGCUGGACCUCCCCAGAGGUGGUCUCCAUGUGGCGGUGAUGCGAAAGAUCAAUGUCCUUGUGACCACUGCUCUGACUGUCCAAAAUAAGCAUUUUCUGUCCAAGCAAAUCCCCAAACUUCCUCACCCUCAUUACUCAACUACCUCAGUCUCACAGCUCAAGGCACACAAGCACCCACUUGCCUCACAUCAUCCUCUCCUGCCCUUGUGUUUAUGGGCUUGGAGCAAAUGCAAAGUCCUCAGUUUCAAAACUCAAGCUGCUCUUCCUGGAUCUGCGCCUUCUCUAGUGACACUGGCCCCCAAUCACCUACUGGGGGCUUUAGAGAGUGACUCUCCAGGUUGGUCCCUGUAGGACAAGCAGGGAGCUGUGCUGUGCAGUCUGAUGCCAGUUUUGGAGCCUCGUUUAAGAGCCCAGAGUGUAGGAGAACUGAGUGGUGGUGGUUUGCAGUCUGAGAGGGCUGGAAUGGACGGCUCUGCUCCUGCCCCUGCCCCUCUGGGCAGUCGGAUGAUGACUUCUGGAUGUACUCGUUACCCCAGAGAGAAGCUAAUUUAUACUUAAAACGCCUUUUGUACACUUCCCCUUUACCCAGAAACCUGUAGUUAUGCUCUCCUGUGUCUACAUCAACACUACCUCUUGCUCACUCUCCUUGGCUGACUUAGAAGAGCUUUUGCUAACGUACCUCCUAUCUUCACCUCUUGUCCAUGCUGACGUGCCCAUUCCCACCCAACAGCACACAGCUGACUCGGAGCAGGCACUGAGUGUUCUACCACACCAGAAGACCCAGAAAACAGGUCAAGCGGGGAGCCUGACCCACCCAGUCAUUAUCCUAGGGAUGGUAGCGACCUCUGCUUCAGGAGACAGACAUGGACCCUCCUUGAGUCUUUAUCAAAUGUGGCUUUAUUCAAUGACAAGCACUUUCUACAGCCGCACCUGUGGAACAUCACAUGGCAAAAACCCGGGUUUGUUUUUUUUUUUUUUCUCUAGACUUUUUUCCUUUUUUUAAACCUUAUUAAAAAUGAGAUUGGUCCUAAAAAUAUAGAAAGAAAUAAAUUUAAAUUCACAAAAAACUGUACAUUAUCAAAAAGUCACUAAAACACCACAUUUGGUUAUAUAAAAAGUCCCUUUUGUUGUAAAAGGAACAUGGAAACUUGUUGGUGUUGAUGGUUUCUUGCUGUUACUGGGGAGGGGACACAAAGGGCAGGGGGAGGGCUGUCUUUUUAUUUUUAACCUGCUUUCCCUACCAAAUACUCUUUGUCAACAAGAGAAAAGUCCACCUAGCUUGAGGGGCAGUGAAGAUGAGGAAAGAAAAGUAUGAGAAAUGGCCCCUUUGAUCACAUCCUGCCCCACAAUCCCUUCAGCCCCCAUUUCUUCAAAUCAAGGCUAGGACCUCCACCUUCAGAGUGCCUGGUCCCUAGGGCAGAGGCGGGGCUGGGAGAGGAGCACACAGCAGAGAGCCCAGGCUCCACUGUCCCUCACCUCAACAACGAAUGACUCCAGUACACUUUAUGCCAGGGGAAACAGUUCCAAACAUCUAACACAAAGUUUGUUACAGCGCAGUUAUUUAGAUAAAAUAUAAAUAUUUAUGCAUAAUAUAAAGUCAAUUCAAAUAUUCUUCAAUCCACCUCUUAUUUAAAAGCAAAAAAAAAUUCUCAAAUAAAAUUAAGUUUUGAGGUUUAUCGAC
rnacentral:lncRNA from 1 species